rnacentral:lncRNA from 1 species
CCCGUGUGUGUCUGUGGGGUCCUAUGGGUGCCCUCAUGGUUGGGGGUCCCAUGGGUGUCCCUGAGGUCCCAUGGGUGUCCAUGGGAUGCGAUGGGUGCCUCCCCCAUGUUUGGGGUCCUCUGGGUGUCCCUAAGGGCCCAUGGGUGUCUGUGAGGUCCCACGGGUGCCCCCAUGGUUGGGGGUCCCCUGGGUGUCCCAUAGGAUGGGGGUCCCAUGGGUUCUUCAGAGGUCCCAUGGGUGUCCCCAUGGCUGGGGGUCCCCUGGGUGUCCUUGAGGUCCCCUGGGUGUCCCUAAGGGCCC